ACUCAUUGGACUUAGAAUGACUCUUGCAAAACAUGAUCACAAGCAGUUGUGAUAUUAGCAACCACCCCUUCAACACUAUGGUUACGUAGGCAUUGAAUGAGAAGGCAGAAGGGUAUGUUUGUAAAGGAAACCAAUUUUUCAUAGGUUACUCCCUCCACAGUGGGAGACCACAGACUGAGAAGAGCUGACUACUCUUCCGGUAGCAGUAAUGCAAUUACACUAUUCAUAGCAAGAGAAAAACACCAGCUGAUUUUCUUUGCAUCAUAAUCCAGUAACCCCUGAAUUAACCUUGCUGGACACAGAUCUGUUAACUUUUACCAUGCUUCUCCAAUUAAACUAUUGAAGUCUGAGACAGAAAUAGCUAUCCACAGCUGUUACGAAUUGAUAUGUCCCCUGAUGAUGCUUGGCACUGCCUGAAGAAAAAAAAGUUUCUUAUUUUAUUCCUUGCCAUGAAGUUAACUUUUUCUUUUCUCAUUUUUUACUAUUUUUAAUAUUCUUUCAUUGCAAAGUGAUGGUAUUGGACUGCUCUCCCAUUUGCUUUGCUUGGAAUGGAAGGCAGACAUGCUACGUGAGUAUGCUCCACAAGGGUAACUUCAUACCUGAUAUUUUUGUUUUAGAAGGAGGAAGGGUGGAGAGCACUUGCAGGGCUGCGUGGCUGUAAGUGCGCCAAGUUACACUGGAGCAUACAUUGCACUUUCAAUGCAUGCUCCAAUAAACAACAAACCCUUGGAUGUCCUCUGCCCAGCUGGUAAUGACAGAAAGAAGGAUACAUCCACUUGAGGCCAAUGUCCUGCAAAUGCCUGCUCACAUGCAGCAACAGUGGUGGUUUUAGUGCGUGCUCGGAACGGAAAUCUCCAAAUCUGCAAACAGCAGAAAACCGGCAAAAUCCCCAAAUCUGCAAAGCCACAUCUGCAAACUGGUUUAUGUAUGUAUCAAGAAAACGUAGAUCUUUAAAAACACAUUAAGUGCUGUCUCUUUGAUCCUUCCCACACCUGUUUAGGACUCCUGAGGACCGACCAUCACAGCUGAAGGACAUUUAAGCACUGGUUGAAUGUCACAUUUGCAAAGUAAAGCUUUCACAUAUCUUUUUGAGCCUUGCUUGAAAAAUUGUCUUAAUUAUCAACAGUCAGAUGAUGUCCUUGGACAUAAAGCAUGACUACAGAAAACAAAGUUUGGAAGUGAGAACAGUGACAGCAAAAAAACACACAAACUGCUGACUUGGUGGCAAAAGCAUUUGUAUGGUACAGAUGGCACAGCCCACCUGCCAGGAUCAUUUGGACAGCCCUUGGCAAUGGGACAUCCAGGCACAAGGGUCUUGCCCACAACCUUCGUGGACUACAAAACACCCAAAGCUGCCCAUUCAUGAGGUCAGUAGUGGCACUUUGGGAAGCCACACCAUUGCAGGGCACCCAUCCACCUGUUCUGUCUGCAGGCUCCCCCGUGGUGGGGAUCCACCAGGCACACAGCUGCUUUGCCAAUCAACACAAAAGCAGCCACAUCCUCCACCCACAAAUGGGCCAGCAUGUAAUACUGAUGUGGUUUGGGUUUCUUUCUCAUAAUCUCCAAUGGUGCCUUGAUUCAGAAUAAAUGAAAGCAUUUAGCAUCUCCAAAAGCUCCAAAUAACUUGUGUGUUCUCAUCUUAUGUGCCUCACUCUGUGUGUUACUCUUUUGUUUGCCCUGCAUCUGGAGGAGAGAUUACAAGUUGCACCAUCAGCAGCCAAGCAAGGUCCAAGCCACAAGCAAGGAUCUGAGUCAUCCCCUUGAGAGAGUAUUUUAGCCAUAUAUCACUGUUUGUUUUCAGGCAAACCAGUACAAUUAUGCAACAUAAAUUCUUCUAAAGCAUUUGGGACUUCAGUUCAAUUUAAAAUCCUGUAGGUUUUAUGGCCAGAGUGAGUGAUUACUAAGUGUGUGCAUACAAAUGACGACUUCGGAAGAAGCAUGUGUGGAGGAUUAAAGGGCAUAUGAAGCCUCACACACACACUGGGCAAGCAGUGGUCAGACUGUACCAGAGGAUGUGAGAUCUGAAGAGCCCAUGUCAAAAGGGGAAUAUACAGACAGAUGUGUUUCUCUGCAUUCAUUUUUUACUUACACAGACGUAAACUCCACUAAAGCUGGGGGACUUAUUGACAACUGAUACUGAGGCAAUCCAAGGCCAGACUGUGACCUAUUGAUUUCCCUGAGCCUGCACAGGAUGUAUGUAGUUCAUUGCAGAACACAGCCUUUGUUUGUUUUGUUUAUUACCCAAUAUGUAACAAUGUGGAAUAAAGAACAAUGCCGAAUGGCAGAAAUGCCUGAGGAUUUCUCUUUAAUUGAAAUCAGGACUGGGAACAUCCUUGUAAAUCAAGAGCAGUCAGUCUUUGAUUAAAUUUACUGCUUUUGCAAA